rnacentral:rRNA from 1 species
UACGAAGGGGGCUAGCGUUGUUCGGAAUUACUGGGCGUAAAGGGCGCGUAGGCGGCCUCGUCCGUCCGGCGUGAAAUGCCUGGGCUCAACCUAGGAAUUGCGCUCGAUACAGCGAGGCUAGAGUGUGGGAGAGGUUGGUGGAAUUCCCAGUGUAGAGGUGAAAUUCGUAGAUAUUGGGAAGAACACCGGUGGCGAAGGCGGCCAACUGGACCAUACUGACGCUGAGGCACGAAAGCGUGGGUAGCAAACAGG